rnacentral:hammerhead_ribozyme from 1 species
AUCCAGUUGACGAAUCCCGAAUAGGACGAAACGUGCAUCCUGGAU